rnacentral:rRNA from 1 species
ACGAGUGGCGGACGGGUGAGUAAUGUCUGGGAAACUGCCUGAUGGAGGGGGAUAACUACUGGAAACGGUAGCUAAUACCGCAUAACGUCGCAAGACCAAAGAGGGGGACCUUCGGGCCUCUUGCCAUCGGAUGUGCCCAGAUGGGAUUAGCUAGUAGGUGGGGUAAAGGCUCACCUAGGCGACGAUCCCUAGCUGGUCUGAGAGGAUGACCAGCCACACUGGAACUGAGACACGGUCCAGACUCCUACGGGAGGCAGCAGUGGGGAAUAUUGCACAAUGGGCGCAAGCCUGAUGCAGCCAUGCCGCGUGUAUGAAGAAGGCCUUCGGGUUGUAAAGUACUUUCAGCGGGGAGGAAGGGAGUAAAGUUAAUACCUUUGCUCAUUGACGUUACCCGCAGAAGAAGCACCGGCUAACUCCGUGCCAGCAGCCGCGGUAAUACGGAGGGUGCAAGCGUUAAUCGGAAUUACUGGGCGUAAAGCGCACGCAGGCGGUUUGUUAAGUCAGAUGUGAAAUCCCCGGGCUCAACCUGGGAACUGCAUCUGAUACUGGCAAGCUUGAGUCUCGUAGAGGGGGGUAGAAUUCCAGGUGUAGCGGUGAAAUGCGUAGAGAUCUGGAGGAAUACCGGUGGCGAAGGCGGCCCCCUGGACGAAGACUGACGCUCAGGUGCGAAAGCGUGGG